UACAGAGGGGGCAAGCGUUGUUCGGAAUUACUGGGCGUAAAGGGCGCGUAGGCGGCCCGCUAAGUCGAACGUGAAAUCCCCGAGCUCAACUCGGGAACUGCGUCCGAUACUGGCGGGCUUGAAUCCGGGAGAGGGAUGCGGAAUUCCAGGUGUAGCGGUGAAAUGCGUAGAUAUCAGGAAGAACACCAAUGGCGAAAGCAGCUUUCUGGGACGGUACUGACGCUGAGACGCGAAAGCGUGGGGAGCGAACAGG
rnacentral:rRNA from 1 species